rnacentral:rRNA from 1 species
ACCCGCUGAACUUAAGCAUAUCAAUAAGCGGAGGAAAAGAAACCAACAGGGAUUGCCUUAGUAACGGCGAGUGAAGCGGCAACAGCUCAAAUUUGAAAUCUGGCCCUUGGGUCCGAAUUGUAAUUUGUAGAGGAUGAUUUUGGUGCGGUAUCUUCCGAGUUCCUUGGAACAGGACGCCUUAGAGGGUGAGAGCCCCGUACGGUUGAAUGCCUAGCCUCUGUAAAUCUCCUUCGACGAGUCGAGUAGUUUGGGAAUGCUGCUCUAAAUGGGAGGUAAAUUUCUUCUAAAGCUAAAUAUUGGCCAGAGACCGAUAGCGCACAAGUAGAGUGAUCGAAAGAUGAAAAGCACUUUGAAAAGAGGGUUAAAUAGCACGUGAAAUUGUUGAAAGGGAAGGAUUUGUGACCAGACUUUUUCUGGGCGGAUCAUCCGGGGUUCUCUCCGGUGCACUUCGCCCAGUAAAGGCCAGCAUCGGUUUUCGGCGUGGGAUAAAAGCAGUAGGAAUGUGGCUCUCUACGGGGAGUGUUAUAGCCUAUUGUAUAAUACCGCGCUGGGGACCGAGGUUCGCGCUUCUGCAAGGAUGCUGGCGUAAUGGUUAUCAAUCACCCGUCUUGAAACACGGACCAAGGAGUCGAACAUUUGUGCGAGUGUUUGGGUGUUAAACCCUCACGCGUAAUGAAAGUGAACGGAGGUGAGAGCCCUUACGGGUGCAUCAUCGACCGAUCCUGAAGUUUUCGGAUGGAUUUGAGUAAGAGCAUAACUGUUCGGACCCGAAAGAUGGUGAACUAUGCGUGGAUAGGGUGAAGCCAGAGGAAACUCUGGUGGAGGCUCGCAGCGGUUCUGACGUGCAAAUCGAUCGUCAAA